UUCCAGGCUGCAGCUACCUACUGUGACCUGCAGGGCUGGGGGGCAGUGCCCACCUUCUACUCUAGUUCAGAGCAGCCAGAAACAGCAGCCACACCCCAGUGCUGACCCGAGCAGAGACCAGGCAUGGACUGUGGAUCAAAUCCUCGUGGCUCACAUCAUAGACAAGCUAAAGGUCGGCAAGUCUGAAAUCUGCCAGGCGGGCCAACAGGCUGAAGACCCAGGUGAGAGUCGAUAUUGCAGUCUUGAGUCCAAAGGCAGUCUGGAGGCGGAAUUCCCACUUCUCAGGAGACCUGACUGAAUUUUUUCUCUGAACACGUUCAGCUGAUUGGAUGAGGCCCACUCACAGUGUGGAGGGCCACCUGCGUUACUCAACGUCCACUGGUUUCAACGUUAAUCUCUUAUAAAAACAUAGCUUCACAGCAACAUCCAGACCAGCAUUUGACCAAACAUCUGGGUGUCAUGGCCCAGCCAACUUCACACACAUCACAGCAUAAUUUGAGAUGGGAAAUAAACAUGGGAGAGGUUUUGUUGAGGGGACAGGUGGCCACAGAGUCCUAGUUAUGCCCUGUUCAUACCCACUUCAGUGCCCUCUGUGGAUGGAGGCUAACAGAUCCCAGGAGGAGUCAUGAAGAAGGAGUGGCUGGCUUUGGGAGGAGGCUGCCUCACGGCACUGCUCGUCUCUCCCGAGGGUCCAGCUGCCCCUGAGGAACUAAGCUUCAGGGUUAAGACCUGCAGAUAAGCAGGACAGAGAACUGCUGAGUGUAUGAAACUGUUCUCUCUCUCUCCUCCAUGCCUGGGCCUGAGAACUGGGAGCUGGCUCUUUUUGGAGUUACAGAAUUGAAAAAGAGGCCUUGGCUUCUCCUGCUGUUACUGAC
rnacentral:lncRNA from 1 species